rnacentral:rRNA from 1 species
UACGAAGGGUGCAAGCGUUAAUCGGAAUUACUGGGCGUAAAGGGUGCGUAGGCGGUUCGUUAAGUCUGUCGUGAAAUCCCCGGGCUCAACCUGGGAAUGGCGAUGGAUACUGGCGAGCUAGAGUGUGUCAGAGGAUGGUGGAAUUCCCGGUGUAGCGGUGAAAUGCGUAGAGAUCGGGAGGAACAUCAGUGGCGCAGGCGGCCAUCUGGGACAACACUGACGCUGAAGCACGAAAGCGUGGGGAGCAAACAGG